rnacentral:rRNA from 1 species
UACGUAGGUGGCAAGCGUUGUCCGGAUUUACUGGGCGUAAAGAGCGCGCAGGCGGUCGUUCAAGUCGCGUGUGAAAGCCCCCGGCUCAACUGGGGAGGGUCACGCGAUACUGAUCGACUCGAAGGCAGGAGAGGGUAGUGGAAUUCCAGGUGUAGCGGUGAAAUGCGUAGAUAUCUGGAGGAAUACCGGUGGCGAAGGCGGCAUCCUGGACUAACACUGACGCUGAGGCGCGAAAGCUAGGGGAGCAAACGGG